GCUCAGGACGAACGCUGGCGGCGCGCUUAACACAUGCAAGUCGAGCGAGAACCAAGCCUUCGGGCUUGGGGACAGCGGCGAACGGGUGAGUAACACGUGGGUAAUCAACCCUUGACACUGGGAUAGCUCGGGGAAACCCGGAUUAAUACCGGAUGUCCCAUCUGGCUUUCGGGCCGGCUGGAAAAGGUAGCUUCGGCCUCCGGUCAAGGACGAGCCCGCGGCGGAUUAGCUUGUUGGUGGGGUAAAGGCCCACCAAGGCGACGAUCCGUAGCUGGUCUGAGAGGACGAUCAGCCACACUGGGACUGAGACACGGCCCAGACUCCUACGGGAGGCAGCAGUGGGGAAUCUUGCGCAAUGGGCGAAAGCCUGACGCAGCGACGCCGCGUGUGGGAAGAAGGCCUUCGGGUUGUAAACCACUUUCAGGAGGGACGAAGCCACUCGGGUUAAUAGCCCAGAGGGUGACGGUACCUCCAGAAGAAGCCCCGGCUAACUACGUGCCAGCAGCCGCGGUAAUACGUAGGGGGCAAGCGUUGUCCGGAUUUAUUGGGCGUAAAGAGCGUGUAGGCGGCCAUACAGGUCAGCUGUGAAAACUCGAGGCUCAACCUCGAGACGUCGGUUGAAACCGUAUGGCUAGAGUCCGGAAGAGGAGAGUGGAAUUCCCGGUGUAGCGGUGAAAUGCGCAGAUAUCGGGAAGAACACCUAUGGCGAAGGCAGCUCUCUGGGACGGUACUGACGCUGAGACGCGAAAGCGUGGGGAGCGAACAGGAUUAGAUACCCUGGUAGUCCACGCCGUAAACGAUGGGAACUAGGUGUGGCGGGUGUCGACUCCCGCUGUGCCGAAGCUAACGCAUUAAGUUCCCCGCCUGGGGAGUACGGCCGCAAGGCUAA
rnacentral:rRNA from 1 species